CUCAGAUUGAACGCUGGCGGCAGGCCUAACACAUGCAAGUCGAGCGGUAGCACAGAGAGCUUGCUCUCGGGUGACGAGCGGCGGACGGGUGAGUAAUGUCUGGGAAACUGCCUGAUGGAGGGGGAUAACUACUGGAAACGGUAGCUAAUACCGCAUAAUGUCGCAAGACCAAAGUGGGGGACCUUCGGGCCUCAUGCCAUCAGAUGUGCCCAGAUGGGAUUAGCUAGUAGGUGGGGUAACGGCUCACCUAGGCGACGAUCCCUAGCUGGUCUGAGAGGAUGACCAGCCACACUGGAACUGAGACACGGUCCAGACUCCUACGGGAGGCAGCAGUGGGGAAUAUUGCACAAUGGGCGCAAGCCUGAUGCAGCCAUGCCGCGUGUGUGAAGAAGGCCUUCGGGUUGUAAAGCACUUUCAGCGGGGAGGAAGGCGAUAAGGUUAAUAACCUUGUCGAUUGACGUUACCCGCAGAAGAAGCACCGGCUAACUCCGUGCCAGCAGCCGCGGUAAUACGGAGGGUGCAAGCGUUAAUCGGAAUUACUGGGCGUAAAGCGCACGCAGGCGGUCUGUCAAGUCGGAUGUGAAAUCCCCGGGCUCAACCUGGGAACUGCAUUCGAAACUGGCAGGCUAGAGUCUUGUAGAGGGGGGUAGAAUUCCAGGUGUAGCGGUGAAAUGCGUAGAGAUCUGGAGGAAUACCGGUGGCGAAGGCGGCCCCCUGGACAAAGACUGACGCU
rnacentral:rRNA from 1 species